rnacentral:rRNA from 2 species
UUGAAGAGUUUGAUCAUGGCUCAGAUUGAACGCUGGCGGCAGGCCUAACACAUGCAAGUCGAGCGGUAGCACAGAGAGCUUGCUCUCGGGUGACGAGCGGCGGACGGGUGAGUAAUGUCUGGGAAACUGCCUGAUGGAGGGGGAUAACUACUGGAAACGGUAGCUAAUACCGCAUAACGUCGCAAGACCAAAGUGGGGGACCUUCGGGCCUCAUGCCAUCAGAUGUGCCCAGAUGGGAUUAGCUAGUAGGUGGGGUAACGGCUCACCUAGGCGACGAUCCCUAGCUGGUCUGAGAGGAUGACCAGCCACACUGGAACUGAGACACGGUCCAGACUCCUACGGGAGGCAGCAGUGGGGAAUAUUGCACAAUGGGCGCAAGCCUGAUGCAGCCAUGCCGCGUGUGUGAAGAAGGCCUUCGGGUUGUAAAGCACUUUCAGCGGGGAGGAAGGCGUUAAGGUUAAUAACCUCAUCGAUUGACGUUACCCGCAGAAGAAGCACCGGCUAACUCCGUGCCAGCAGCCGCGGUAAUACGGAGGGUGCAAGCGUUAAUCGGAAUUACUGGGCGUAAAGCGCACGCAGGCGGUCUGUCAAGUCGGAUGUGAAAUCCCCGGGCUCAACCUGGGAACUGCAUUCGAAACUGGCAGGCUAGAGUCUUGUAGAGGGGGGUAGAAUUCCAGGUGUAGCGGUGAAAUGCGUAGAGAUCUGGAGGAAUACCGGUGGCGAAGGCGGCCCCCUGGACAAAGACUGACGCUCAGGUGCGAAAGCGUGGGGAGCAAACAGGAUUAGAUACCCUGGUAGUCCACGCCGUAAACGAUGUCGAUUUGGAGGUUGUGCCCUUGAGGCGUGGCUUCCGGAGCUAACGCGUUAAAUCGACCGCCUGGGGAGUACGGCCGCAAGGUUAAAACUCAAAUGAAUUGACGGGGGCCCGCACAAGCGGUGGAGCAUGUGGUUUAAUUCGAUGCAACGCGAAGAACCUUACCUGGUCUUGACAUCCACAGAACUUAGCAGAGAUGCUUUGGUGCCUUCGGGAACUGUGAGACAGGUGCUGCAUGGCUGUCGUCAGCUCGUGUUGUGAAAUGUUGGGUUAAGUCCCGCAACGAGCGCAACCCUUAUCCUUUGUUGCCAGCGGUCCGGCCGGGAACUCAAAGGAGACUGCCAGUGAUAAACUGGAGGAAGGUGGGGAUGACGUCAAGUCAUCAUGGCCCUUACGACCAGGGCUACACACGUGCUACAAUGGCAUAUACAAAGAGAAGCGACCUCGCGAGAGCAAGCGGACCUCAUAAAGUAUGUCGUAGUCCGGAUUGGAGUCUGCAACUCGACUCCAUGAAGUCGGAAUCGCUAGUAAUCGUAGAUCAGAAUGCUACGGUGAAUACGUUCCCGGGCCUUGUACACACCGCCCGUCACACCAUGGGAGUGGGUUGCAAAAGAAGUAGGUAGCUUAACCUUCGGGAGGGCGCUUACCACUUUGUGAUUCAUGACUGGGGUGAAGUCGUAACAAGGUAACCGUAGGGGAACCUGCGGUUGGAUCACCUCCUU